rnacentral:lncRNA from 1 species
AGACAAAGAAGGGACUAGACAAUGAGGAGCUUGGGGACAAGAAGGAGGAGAUACCCACCUGAGCAUGGGGACAAUGAAAAGAGCUUCUUUCUUUGGAGUCUGAAGAGCCCAAGAACUAAACAAGUCCAGGUCUGGUGCAUUAUCCACUGCCCACUAGGACUACAAUAUUGUAAAGAAAACUAACUUUGAACAACUUAAGAAUUCUGAUCAAUAUAGCAUCCAAUUAUGACUUCAGAGGACUAAAGUUAAAAUAUUCUUUCCACCACUUGACAAAGACUUGUUGGACUAAAGGUGCAUAAAAAGAUAAUACAUUUUUGGAUCAUGGAUAAUGUGAAGAUUUUUUUUUGACAGAAUAUGCUAACUUGUUACAAUGGGGAAGGGGGCAUUUUAAGGGGAAGAUAAUCAUAGAAGAGAGCUAGUGAUAACAAUGGCACAAAAAAAAACAUUAAAAGACAAUUUCAAAAAGUUAGAAAAGUGGGGGCAGUUGAGUGGCUCAGUGGAUUGAAAGCCAGUCCCAGAGACAGGAAGUCCUGGGUUCUAAUGUGACCCUAGCUGUGUGACCCUGGGCAAGU